GAUGAACGCUGGCGGCGUGCCUAAUACAUGCAAGUCGAGCGAACAGAUAAGGAGCUUGCUCCUUUGACGUUAGCGGCGGACGGGUGAGUAACACGUGGAUAACCUACCUAUAAGACUGGGAUAACUUCGGGAAACCGGAGCUAAUACCGGAUAACAUAUUGAACCGCAUGGUUCAAUAGUGAAAGGCGGCUUUGCUGUCACUUAUAGAUGGAUCCGCGCCGUAUUAGCUAGUUGGUAAGGUAACGGCUUACCAAGGCAACGAUACGUAGCCGACCUGAGAGGGUGAUCGGCCACACUGGAACGGAGACACGGUCCAGACUCCUACGGGAGGCAGCAGUAGGGAAUCUUCCGCAAUGGGCGAAAGCCUGACGGAGCAACGCCGCGUGAGUGAUGAAGGUCUUCGGAUCGUAAAACUCUGUUAUCAGGGAAGAACAAAUGUGUAAGUAACUGUGCACAUCUUGACGGUACCUGAUCAGAAAGCCACGGCUAACUACGUG
rnacentral:rRNA from 1 species